GACGAACGCUGGCGGCGUGCUUAACACAUGCAAGUCGAACGGAAAGGCCCUGCUUUUGUGGGGUGCUCGAGUGGCGAACGGGUGAGUAACACGUGAGUAACCUGCCCUUGACUUUGGGAUAACUUCAGGAAACUGGGGCUAAUACCGGAUAGGAGCUCCUGCUGCAUGGUGGGGGUUGGAAAGUUUCGGCGGUUGGGGAUGGACUAGCGGCUUAUCAGCUUGUUGGUGGGGUAGUGGCUUACCAAGGCUUUGACGGGUAGCCGGCCUGAGAGGGUGACCGGCCACAAUAGGACUGAGAUACGGCCCAGACUCCUACGGGAGGCAGCAGUGGGGAAUAUUGCACAAUGAGCGGAAGCCUGAUGCAGCAACGCCGCGUGCGGGAUGACGGCCUUCGGGUUGUAAACCGCUUUCGCCUGUGACGAAGCGUGAGUGACGGUAAUGGGUAAAGAAGCACCGGCUAACUACGUG
rnacentral:rRNA from 1 species